rnacentral:piRNA from 1 species
UUCCACCAGAGGUACCGCCAGUUCACCCA